rnacentral:rRNA from 1 species
AUACGUAGGUGGCAAGCGUUGUCCGGAUUUACUGGGCGUAAAGGGAGCGUAGGUGGAUUUUUAAGUGGGAUGUGAAAUACCCGGGCUUAACCUGGGUGCUGCAUUCCAAACUGGAUAUCUAGAGUGCAGGAGAGGAAAGGAGAAUUCCUAGUGUAGCGGUGAAAUGCGUAGAGAUUAGGAAGAAUGCGAGUGGCGAAGGCGCCUUACUGGACUGUAUCUGAAACUGAGACUCGAAGGCGAGAGUAACAAACAUGAUAAGAUACCCUGGUGACCCCCGCCGAAAACGAGGACUACUGGGGGUAGGGGUUUUCAUGACCUCUGUGCAGCCGCUAACGCAUUAAGUAUUCCGCCUGGGGAGUACGGUCGCAAGAUUAAAACUCAAAUGAAAUGACGGGG